AUUGAACGCUGGCGGCAUGCCUUACACAUGCAAGUCGAACGGCAGCACGGGUGCUUGCACCUGGUGGCGAGUGGCGAACGGGUGAGUAAUACAUCGGAACAUGUCCUGUAGUGGGGGAUAGCCCGGCGAAAGCCGGAUUAAUACCGCAUACGAUCUACGGAUGACAGCGGGGGACCUUCGGGCCUCGCGCUAUAGGGUUGGCCGAUGGCUGAUUUGCUCGUUGGUGGGGUAAAGGCCUACCCAGGCGACGAUCAGUAGCUGGUCUGAGAGGACGACCAGCCACACUGGGACUGAGACACGGCCCAGACUCCGACGGGAGGCAGCAGUGGGGAAUUUUGGACAAUGGGCGAAAGCCUGAUCCAGCAAUGCCGCGUGUGUGAAGAAGGCCUUCGGGUUGUAAAGCACUUUUGUCCGGAAAGAAAUCCUUGGCCCUAAUACGGUCGGGGGAUGACGGUACCGGAAGAAUAAGCACCGGCUAACUACGU
rnacentral:rRNA from 1 species